rnacentral:rRNA from 1 species
CAAGUCGAGCGAUGAGAUCACUUCGGUGAAGGAUUAGCGGCGAACGGGUGAGGAACACGUGAAGAAUCUGCCUUCAACUCUGGGAUAACUCCGGGAAACCGGGGCUAAUACCGGAUAUGAGCCUUGAUCGCAUGAUCGGGGCUGGAAAGUUUUUCGGUUGAAGAUGACUUCGCGGCCUAUCAGCUUGUUGGUGAGGUAAUGGCUCACCAAGGCGACGACGGGUAGCCGGCCUGAGAGGGCGACCGGCCACACUGGGACUGAGACACGGCCCAGACUCCUACGGGAGGCAGCAGUGGGGAAUAUUGGGCAAUGGACGAAAGUCUGACCCAGCGACGCCGCGUGCGGGAUGAAGGCCUUCGGGUUGUAAACCGCUUUCAGCAGGGAAUAAGCGCAAGUGAAGGUACCUGCAGAAGAAGCACCGGCUAACUAUGUGCCAGCAGCCGCGGUAAUACAUAGGGUGCAAGCGUUGUCCGGAAUUAUUGGGCGUAAAGAGCUCGUAGGUGGUUUGUUACGUCGGUUGUGAAAUUCAGGGGCUCAACCCCUGACUUGCAGCCGAUACGGGCAAGCUAGAGUUUGGUAGGGGAGACUGGAAUUCCUGGUGUGGCGGUGGAAUGCGCAGAUAUCAGGAGGAACACCGAUGGCGAAGGCAGGUCUCUGGGCCAAUACUGACACUGAGGAGCGAAAGCGUGGGGAGCGAACAGGAUUAGAUACCCUGGUAGUCCACGCCGUAAACGGUGGGCGCUAGUUGUGCGAACCUUCCACGGUUUGUGCGACGCAGCUAACGCAUUAAGCGCCCCGCCUGGGGAGUACGAUCGCAAGAUUAAAACUCAAAGGAAUUGACGG